AGUUCUACAUGGCAUUUUAACGGUCAAUGUCAUAAUACUGUUUGCUUUUACUGCAAUAAAAUACACAUAUUUGUAUUCAGCAAAGUCUCACGUGUAAAACAGUACCCCCUAUGUACAGGUUUUAUGGCGUUUUGGGAAGUUACAGGGUCAAAUAUAGCACGUUACAUUUGAAAUUGAAAUUCGCCAGAUUGGCUACGUUGCCUUUGGGACUUUAUAGUAGCCCAGGAAAGAAAUUUACACCCAUAAUGGCAUAUCAUUUGCAA